UAUGUCUGAAGUAUAAUUCUGUAAACACACGCUUUUAUCAAGACUUCCUGCCUAAGAUGCAGUAAACUCGAUUAACCAUGUAGAAUUUUUAGGACCGAUUCAAAUCUAACAGUGAAAACUAAGUACAUGUUUAUUUUCUUUGUUCCAGGACAAGUUUUUGUUUUGUUUACCAAUGAUUAUGUAUCUUUUCCUUUGAAAUGCAUUCUGAGGCAGGCGCCUUGGGAGUUGCUAUAAAAGGUACCUGAAUUCGGCUGUUAAAGGAGACCCAAAUUAAGAGUGUAACAUGUGUCCACGUGGAGUGAGCAUGGAGAGAUCCCGUCCAAACUUCUCUCAUGCUGCUGGAGUACUGGUAGGAAAAUGGACAAGACAUAAUGGACUGGAAAGAACAGUGGCGGUUCAGGUGUGUGCUGAAUUGAGGGUCUUUUUGAGUGAGAGAACCAACAUGAAGCACUAAGGUGGGACUCAUUAUACAUUUGUGCUGGAUCAUUUAUCAAUAGUUCUAAUUAUGAUUUGGAAAGGCUUCUAGAGACAAAGCUAUGCCCAGAAAAUGUGAUGAGCCACUAGAUUGUAGCUCGGGCUAAUCCUGCCCUAAUCUCGUUCAUAAUCAAGAUUGGUGUGAAACUUAUAACGUGUGCUCUCUCUUCCCUGUGAAAUUCAAUAUGGAUGUGCCCUAGACCAAAUUCUGGAGAUCUCUAGAAACAUAGAUGCUAAAAGAAUUGUGUAAAUUGGCUCUGCCAAACAGAGGCUUUUGACUAUCUUUUGUCAGGUAAAGGGGGCACAUGUGUAAUCAUUGGUGAUGAAUGUUGUACUUUUGUCCCAGAUCACUCUUCUAAUAUGACUGAUCUCAGCAAAUACAUUGCCACUGUUGCUAAGAAUAAUUUCCCACAGAGUGGACGCCUGCAACUUGGUUGGAAUCCCUGUUUGGAAGUUGGGGAUCCCAAAUUACCAAAUGGGCUGCAGCAUAUGUUUUUGUUGAUGAUGAAUCUAAUAGCCUACUUUUUAUCACAGUCAGAACUAACACUGACAUAUGAGGUGUGCCAC